CAGUAGCCACGGUAAUACGUAGGUGGCGAGCGUUGUCCGAAGUUACUGGGCGUAAAGAGCGCGUAGGCGGGUCUUUAAGUGAGGGGUGAAAGGUUCAGGGCUCAACCCGGACACUGCCUUUCAUACUGGAGACCUUGAGUGUGGGAGAGGCGAGUGGAAUGGUCGGUGUAGCGGUGAAAUGCGUAGAUAUCGAUCGGAACACCCAUGGCGAAGGCAGCUCGCUGGCCUAUAACUGACGCUGAGGCGCGAAAGCGUGGGGAGCAAACAGGAUUAGAUACCCCCGUAGUCCCUGUCUCUUAUA
rnacentral:rRNA from 1 species